UUUCCGGGGCUUAGUGCCGGAGCUAACGCAAUAAGCACUCCGCCUGGGGAGUACGACCGCAAGGUUGAAACUCAAAGGAAUUGACGGGGGCCCGCACAAGCGGUGGAGCAUGUGGUUUAAUUCGAAGCAACGCGAAGACCUUACCAGGUCUUGACAUCCGAUGCUAUUCUUAGAGAUAGGAAGUUACUUCGGUACAUCGAGACAGGUGGUGCAUGGUUGUCGUCAGCUCGUGUCGUGAGAUGUUGGGUUAAGUCCCGCAACGAGCGCAACCCUUAUUGUUAGUUGCCAUCAUUAAGUUGGGCACUCUAGCGAGACUGCCGGUAAUAAACCGGAGGAAGGUGGGGAUGACGUCAAAUCAUCAUGCCCCUUAUGACCUGGGCUACACACGUGCUACAAUGGUCGGUACAACGAGUUGCGAGCCGGUGACGGCAAGCUAAUCUCUGAAAGCCGAUCUCAGUUCGGAUUGGAGGCUGCAACUCGCCU
rnacentral:rRNA from 1 species